rnacentral:rRNA from 1 species
UUAAUAGUAAAAUCUGCUCAAUGAACUAUUAAAUAGCCGCAAUACUGUGCUAAGGUAGCAUAAUCAUUUGUCUUUUAAAUGAAGACUAGAACAAAAGAUUUAACAUUUAAAUUCUUUUAUAAUUUUAAAACUUCAAAAUUUUUCCAAAAGUAAAAAAACUUUUAUAAAAAUGAAAGACGACAAGACCCUAUUAAACUUAACUUUAGUUAAACUGGGGCAGUUAAUUAAUUAUUAUUUUAAUAAAAAUAGAUAAUGAAAUAUCUAAUUAAUUAAUAAUUCAGUUACUAUAGGGAUAACAGCGUAAUUAUAUUUUAAAGACCUUAUUUAAAAAAUAGAUUGCGACCUCGAUGUUGAAUUAAUAACCUAAUUAUCUUAAAGCAAAAAUUAAAAUAGGAAGUCUGUUCGACUUUUAAAAAAUUACAUGAUUUGAGUUCAGACCGGUGUAAGCCAGGUCGGUUUCUAUCUUCUAUAGAAUUUUAUACAGUACGAAAGGACCCAUAAACAUUUUAUAUUUAAUAUAGCAGAUUAAUGCAUUAGAAUUAGAAUCUAAUUAAGUAAAUUA